CGAAAGGAUCCGGGCGGUUUAUAUCGUUUCAUUGAUUUUACAACCGGGUACCGUGAAAUUGCUCGCUGCUGGUAGUGUAAACUUUACGGUGAUAGAUCAUCCAGAGGAUACUGUCGACAAAAGGUUGGAGAUUUCUCCUUAAAAAAUCAGAAGAGUUUUCCACAUGCUCUACUUCGAAGAUAUUCGCGAGAUCGACGGGGCGAAACAGACGGCGAACAAAGGGGAGGACGAAACGAAGGAGUCGUGAUGUAAACGAAGCGCUGUCACGGGAGAAAUCAAUCGUCGAUAGCAGAAGUAGCUGCUAGGAUCUCUGGAGUCGGGGAACACGUCUCGAGGUGCAUUGUAUGCGAGGAAUGGGAACGGGACCGUGUAUAAACGGGACGCGCCUUUAUUUCUCGGAAAUUCGAAAUAUAUUGCGGCGGUGAGGAACGAUCCCGUGAGUCGAUGAAGCGAGCACGAGGACAUUCUUCGAUAUUCCUUUAACUGGAGCGUCGUCGCUGAGCGUGUGCAGGGGAAAUAGGCACAGCAAUUACAACAGAAGGCAACACAAGCCAGCGGUACGAGGAUAAACAGAAGAGAAAAGAAGGAAUUCGUAAUAAAAAGGUAAAAACGUGACCAGGUGAAACAGGGCGCAGCAUGAGGCGAGCUUAUGGGGCCAGAGUGAGUUGAACGCAACACCAUAGGAUAGCAGGGACGGGUAGAACAUGGUGCUAGAGAAGAAGAGGAGAGGACGAUGGUGGCGCAUGCUCCUCCUCGUUGUGCACGCAUCGUAG